GACAGAGGUGCCGAGCGUUAGGCGGAAUCACUGGGCUUAAAGCGUGUGUAGGCGGAUCGUUAAGUACCUUGUGAAAUCCCACGGCUUAACCGUGGAACUGCUGGGUAUACUGGCGAUCUUGAGCCACCUAGGGGCAACCGGAACAAAUGGUGGAGCGGUGAAAUGCGUAGAUAUCAGGAGGAACACCAAUGGCGAAGGCAGCACUCUGGGACGUGACUGACGCUGAGACGCGAAAGCGUGGGGAGCAAACAGG
rnacentral:rRNA from 1 species